UACGUAGGGGGCAAGCGUUGUCCGGAAUCAUUGGGCGUAAAGCGCGUGUAGGCGGUCCGGUAAGUCCGCUGUGAAAGUCGGGGGCUUAACCCUCGGAUGCCGGUGGAUACUGUCGGGCUUGAGUACGGAAGAGGCGAGUGGAAUUCCUGGUGUAGCGGUGAAAUGCGCAGAUAUCAGGAGGAACACCAAUUGCGAAGGCAGCUCGCUGGGACGUUACUGACGCUGAGACGCGAAAGCGUGGGGAGCAAACGGG
rnacentral:rRNA from 1 species